rnacentral:rRNA from 1 species
UGGGGAAUCUUCCGCAAUGGGCGCAAGCCUGACGGAGCAACGCCGCGUGAGUGAAGAAGGUCUUCGGAUCGUAAAGCUCUGUUGAUGGGGACGAACGUGCCCAAUGCGAAUAGUAUUAGGUAAUGACGGUACCCAUCGAGGAAGCCACGGCUAACUACGUGCCAGCAGCCGCGGUAAUACGUAGGUGGCGAGCGUUGUCCGGAAUCAUUGGGCGUAAAGGGAGCGCAGGCGGGCAUGUAAGUCUUUCUUAAAAGUGCGGGGCUCAACCCCGUGAUGGGAAAGAAACUAUGUGUCUUGAGUACAGGAGAGGAAAGCGGAAUUCCCAGUGUAGCGGUGAAAUGCGUAGAUAUUGGGAGGAACACCAGUGGCGAAGGCGGCUUUCUGGACUGCAACUGACGCUGAGGCUCGAAAGCCAGGGGAGCGAACGGG